rnacentral:rRNA from 1 species
UUGAUCCUGGCUCAGGAUGAACGCUAGCGGCAGGCCUAAUACAUGCAAGUCGAACGGUAAAUAUUGUAGCAAUACGAUAUGAGAGUGACGUACGGGUGCGUAACACGUAUGCAACCUACCCAUAACUGGAGGAUAGCUCCCCGAAAGGGGAAUUAACCCUCCAUAGUAAGAUUGGAUGGCAUCAUUUGACCUUUAAAACUCUGGUGGUUAUGGAUGGGCAUGCGUCUGAUUAGUUAGUUGGCGGUGUAACGGACCACCAAGACGAUGAUCAGUAGGGGAACUGAGAGGUUGAUCCCCCACACUGGCACUGAGAUACGGGCCAGACUCCUACGGGAGGCAGCAGUAGGGAAUAUUGGUCAAUGGAUGCAAGUCUGAACCAGCCAUGCCGCGUGCAGGAAGAAGGCCCUAUGGGUUGUAAACUGCUUUUGCCAGGGGAUAAAACAGUUCUGCGGAACAAAUUGAAGGUACCUGGUGAAUAAGCCACGGCUAACUACGUGCCAGCAGCCGCGGUAAUACGUAGGUGGCAAGCGUUGUCCGGAUUUAUUGGGUUUAAAGGGUGCGUAGGCGGUCUCAUAAGUCAGUGCUGAAAUAUCCCGGCUUAACCGGGAGGGUGGCAUUGAUACUGUGGGACUUGAGUAAAGUUGAGGUUGGCGGAAUUGACGGUGUAGCGGUGAAAUGCUUAGAUAUCGUCAAGAACACCUAUUGCGAAGGCAGCUAACUAAGCUUUAACUGACGCUGAGGCACGAAAGUGUGGGGAUCAAACAGGAUUAGAUACCCUGGUAGUCCACACUGUAAACGUU